rnacentral:rRNA from 1 species
GAUGAACGCUGGCGGCGUGCCUAAUACAUGCAAGUCGAGCCAACAGACGAGGAGCUUGCUCCUCUGACGUUAGCGGCGGACGGGUGAGUAACACGUGGAUAACCUACCUAUAAGACUGGGAUAACUUCGGGAAACCGGAGCUAAUACCGGAUAAUAUAUUGAACCGCAUGGUUCAAUAGUGAAAGACGGUUUUGCUGUCACUUAUAGAUGGAUCCGCGCCGCAUUAGCUAGUUGGUAAGGUAACGGCCUACCAAGGCAACGAUGCGUAGCCGACCUGAGAGGGUGAUCGGCCACACUGGAACUGAGACACGGUCCAGACUCCUACGGGAGGCAGCAGUAGGGAAUCUUCCGCAAUGGGCGAAAGCCUGACGGAGCAACGCCGCGUGAGUGAUGAAGGUCUUCGGAUCGUAAAACUCUGUUAUUAGGGAAGAACAAAUGUGUAAGUAACUAUGCACGUCUUGACGGUACCUAAUCAGAAAGCCACGGCUAACUACGUG